rnacentral:tRNA from 1 species
AACUAUAUAGUUUUUGUUUUGAAAACAAAAGUUAAGAUUUAUUCUUGUAGUUU